rnacentral:rRNA from 1 species
CUUCGGACUUAGUGGCGGACGGGUGAGUAACACGUGGGAACGUGCCUUUAGGUUCGGAAUAACUCAGGGAAACUUGUGCUAAUACCGAAUGUGCCCUUCGGGGGAAAGAUUUAUCGCCUUUAGAGCGGCCCGCGUCUGAUUAGCUAGUUGGUGGGGUAAUGGCCCACCAAGGCUACGAUCAGUAGCUGGUCUGAGAGGAUGACCAGCCACAUUGGGACUGAGACACGGCCCAAACUCCUACGGGAGGCAGCAGUGGGGAAUCUUGCGCAAUGGGCGAAAGCCUGACGCAGCCAUGCCGCGUGGAUGAUGAAGGUCUUAGGAUUGUAAAAUCCUUUCACCGGUGAAGAUAAUGACUGUAGCCGGAGAAGAAGCCCCGGCUAACUUCGUGCCAGCAGCCGCGGUAAUACGAAGGGGGCUAGCGUUGCUCGGAAUUACUGGGCGUAAAGGGAGCGUAGGCGGACAUUUAAGUCAGGGUGAAAUCCCGAGGCUCAACCUCGGAACUGCCUUUGAUACUGGGUGUCUUGAGUGUGAGAGAGGUAUGUGGAACUCCGAGUGUAGAGGUGAAAUUCGUAGAUAUUCGGAAGAACACCAGUGGCGAAUGCGACAUACUGGCUCAUUACUGACGCUGAGGCUCGAAAGCGUGGGAGCAAACACGAUUAGAUACCCUGGUAGUCCACGCCGUAACGAUGAAUGCUAGUUGUCGGGGCGCUUGCGCUUCGGUGACGCAGCU